rfam:Myotis brandtii contig192870, whole genome shotgun sequence.
CGUGCAUCCGUGGGGUCCCUCAGCCCGGCCUGUGCCCUCUCACAAUCGAGGACACAUCAGGGGAUGUCGGAAAGCCAGUUUUGGCCCGAUCCCACAGGCCAGGCUGAGGGACCCCACGGGUGCACG